rnacentral:tRNA from 1 species
CGAAUUAGAGCUUGAAAGAAAGCAUUUUAUUUACAUUAAAAAGUUUAUUGUGAAAAUCAAUUUAAUUUGA